GACGAACGCUGGCGGCGUGCUUAACACAUGCAAGUCGAACGGAAAGGCCCUGCUUUUGUGGGGUGCUCGAGUGGCGAACGGGUGAGUAACACGUGAGUAACCUGCCCUUGACUUUGGGAUAACUUCAGGAAACUGGGGCUAAUACCGGAUAGGAGCUCCUGCUGCAUGGUGGGGGUUGGAAAGUUUCGGCGGUUGGGGAUGGACUCGCGGCUUAUCAGCUUGUUGGUGGGGUAGUGGCUUACCAAGGCUUUGACGGGUAGCCGGCCUGAGAGGGUGACCGGCCACAUUGGGACUGAGAUACGGCCCAGACUCCUACGGGAGGCAGCAGUGGGGAAUAUUGCACAAUGGGCGGAAGCCUGAUGCAGCAACGCCGCGUGCGGGAUGACGGCCUUCGGGUUGUAAACCGCUUCCGCCUGUGACGAAGCGUGAAUGACGGUAAUGGGUAAAGAAGCACCGGCUAACUACGUGCCAGCAGCCGCGGUGAUACGUAGGGUGCGAGCGUUGUCCGGAUUUAUUGGGCGUAAAGGGCUCGUAGGUGGUUGAUCGCGUCGGAAGUGUAAUCUUGGGGCUUAACCCUGAGCGUGCUUUCGAUACGGGUUGACUUGAGGAAGGUAGGGGAGAAUGGAAUUCCUGGUGGAGCGGUGGAAUGCGCAGAUAUCAGGAGGAACACCAGUGGCGAAGGCGGUUCUCUGGGCCUUUCCUGACGCUGAGGAGCGAAAGCGUGGGGAGCGAACAGGCUUAGAUACCCUGGUAGUCCACGCUGUAAACGGUGGGUACUAGGUGUGGGGUCCAUUCCACGGGUUCCGUGCCGUAGCUAACGCUUUAAGUACCCCGCCUGGGGAGUACGGCCGCAAGGCUAAAACUCAAAGGAAUUGACGGGGCCCCGCACAAGCGGCGGAGCAUGCGGAUUAAUUCGAUGCAACGCGUAGAACCUUACCUGGGUUUGACAUGGAUCGGGAGUGCUCAGAGAUGGGUGUGCCUCUUUUGGGGUCGGUUCACAGGUGGUGCAUGGCUGUCGUCAGCUCGUGUCGUGAGAUGUUGGGUUAAGUCCCGCAACGAGCGCAACCCUUGUUCACUGUUGCCAGCACGUUAUGGUGGGGACUCAGUGGAGACCGCCGGGGUCAACUCGGAGGAAGGUGGGGAUGACGUCAAGUCAUCAUGCCCCUUAUGUCCAGGGCUUCACGCAUGCUACAAUGGCUGGUACAGAGAGUGGCGAGCCUGUGAGGGUGAGCGAAUCUCGGAAAGCCGGUCUCAGUUCGGAUUGGGGUCUGCAACUCGACCUCAUGAAGUCGGAGUCGCUAGUAAUCGCAGAUCAGCAACGCUGCGGUGAAUACGUUCCCGGG
rnacentral:rRNA from 1 species